UACAGCACCAUUCGCCACGAAGUGAAUCAAGGUGCACACGCACAAAGGGGUCCACAGCAUAGUGGGAGAGGAACCUAUCGACCUCCUAGGCGUGCAAAAACGACACAUGCAAGUAAUCACAGCGCAGGCUCUUUAUGACGGAGCAUUUGUGUGCAAGAGCAGAUGGUGCCAAUAAAAGACGAAAUCCAA